UGAAAAUGUAAGUAAAAGAAUAAAAAAAAAUGAACGGAAGCACCAGUUGCCGGAGAGGAAGAAGAAGAUGGAUGAUUAGUCGCUUGAAGGCCUGCAAUACUGGUGUAAACCAUCAAAACUACCGGUAAUGAGGACUUCAUGGACGGCGGGAAACCUAGGAAGACGAUUCCUAACCUGUCAGUAUUGGGGUGUAAGUUUUUUGAGUGGAUUGACCCAGAGGUGUGUGAACGUGGAAUGGAAAUCUUGCUCGAAUUACUUAGGAAGAAUCAAAUGUUACAGAGGGAUAUUAAUUCGAUUUCUGCAGCUUUACUUUGUGUACUAGUCGAUAAUGUGACUUUAGUUUGUCAACAUGUCUUGAAAAUGUUAGGUUAGAUUGCGGAGUUGUGAACUUGUGAAUUUAUGAUUUAUGAGCAGUGUAUUGUAAUUGUAUACAAAUUAAUAUAACCUUCCUUCUUA